UACGUAGGGGGCAAGCGUUGUCCGGAUUUAUUGGGCGUAAAGAGCGUGUAGGCGGCCAGGUAGGUCAGCUGUGAAAACUCGAGGCUCAACCUCGAGACGUCGGUUGAAACCACCUGGCUAGAGUCCGGAAGAGGAGAGUGGAAUUCCUGGUGUAGCGGUGAAAUGCGCAGAUAUCAGGAAGAACACCCGUGGCGAAGGCGGCUCUCUGGGACGGCACUGACGCUGAGACGCGAAAGCGUGGGGAGCGAACAGG
rnacentral:rRNA from 1 species